CCUACGGGGGGCUGCAGUCGAGAAUCUUUCGCAAUGGGCGCAAGCCUGACGAAGCGACGCCGUGUGAGCGAAGAAGGCCUUCGGGUUGUAAAGCUCUUUCGCUAGGGAACAAGAGAGUUUGGUGAAUAACCAAGCGAUUUGAUGGUACUUGGUAAAGAAGCACCGGCUAACUCCGUGCCAGCAGCUGCGGUAAUACGGAGGGUGCAAGCAUUGAUCGGAAUUACUGGGCGUAAAGGGCGCGUAGGCGGUAGGAAAAGUCAGAUGUGAAAUUCCGG
rnacentral:rRNA from 1 species